AUACGUAGGUGGCAAGCGUUAUCCGGAAUUAUUGGGCGUAAAGAGGGAGCAGGCGGCAGCAAGGGUCUGUGGUGAAAGCCUGAAGCUUAACUUCAGUAAGCCAUAGAAACCAGGCAGCUAGAGUGCAGGAGAGGAUCGUGGAAUUCCAUGUGUAGCGGUGAAAUGCGUAGAUAUAUGGAGGAACACCAGUGGCGAAGGCGACGAUCUGGCCUGCAACUGACGCUCAGUCCCGAAAGCGUGGGGAGCAAAUAGGAUUAGAUACCCUAGUAGUCCACGCCGUAAACGAUGAGUACUAAGUGUUGGAUGUCAAAGUUCAGUGCUGCAGUUAACGCAAUAAGUACUCCGCCUGAGUAGUACGUUCGCAAGAAUGAAACUCAAAUGAAUUGACGGG
rnacentral:rRNA from 1 species